rnacentral:rRNA from 1 species
GAUGAGCGCUGGCGGCGUGCCUAAUACAUGCAAGUCGAGCGGACGGACGAGAAGCUUGCUUUUCUGAUGUUAGCGGCGGACGGGUGAGUAACACGUGGAUAACCUACCUAUAAGACUGGGAUAACUUCGGGAAACCGGAGCUAAUACCGGAUAAUAUUUUGAACCGCAUGGUUCAAAAGUGAAAGACGGUCUUGCUGUCACUUAUAGAUGGAUCCGCGCUGCAUUAGCUAGUUGGUAAGGUAACGGCUUACCAAGGCAACGAUGCAUAGCCGACCUGAGAGGGUGAUCGGCCACACUGGAACUGAGACACGGUCCAGACUCCUACGGGAGGCAGCAGUAGGGAAUCUUCCGCAAAGGGCGAAAGCCUGACGGAGCAACGCCGCGUGAGUGAUGAAGGUCUUCGGAUCGUAAAACUCUGUUAUUAGGGAAGAACAUAUGUGUAAGUAACUGUGCACAUCUUGACGGUACCUAAUCAGAAAGCCACUGCUAACUACGUG